AUUGAACGCUGGCGGCAGGCCUAACACAUGCAAGUCGAGCGGAUGAGAGGAGCUUGCUCCUCGAUUCAGCGGCGGACGGGUGAGUAAUGCCUAGGAAUCUGCCUAGUAGUGGGGGACAACGUUUCGAAAGGAACGCUAAUACCGCAUACGUCCUACGGGAGAAAGUGGGGGAUCUUCGGACCUCACGCUAUUAGAUGAGCCUAGGUCGGAUUAGCUAGUUGGUAGGGUAACGGCCUACCAAGGCGACGAUCCGUAACUGGUCUGAGAGGAUGGUCAGUCACACUGGACCUGAGACACGGUCCAGACUCCUACGGGAGGCAGCAGUGGGGAAUAUUGGACAAUGGGCGAAAGCCUGAUCCAGCCAUGCCGCGUGUGUGAAGAAGGCCCUCGGGUCGUAAAGCACUUUAAGUUGGGAGGAAGGGCUUACAGCGAAUACCUGUGAGUUUUGACGUUACCGACAGAAUAAGCACCGGCUAACUUCGUGCCAGCAGCCGCGGUAA
rnacentral:rRNA from 1 species